rnacentral:rRNA from 1 species
AGUCUGGCCUGCCCAAUGAUUUUUGAAUGGCCGCAGUAUUUUGACUGUGCAAAGGUAGCAUAAUCAUUAGUUUUUUAAUUGAAAGCUGGAAUGAAAGGUUUGAUGAGAAAAUAACUGUCUCUGCAUAAAUGAUUUAGAACUUCAAUUUUAAGUGAAAAAGCUUAAAUUUUUUAUAAAGACGAGAAGACCCUAUAGAGUUUUAUAUUUUUUUGAGUUUAAUGUUUUUGGGAAUUACUACUUUAUUCUUAUCUAAGUAUUUCGUUGGGGCGAUGGAAAAAUUAAAUUAACUUUUUUUUGUUUUUAACAUUUAUUUAUGGUUAGUUGAUCCUUGAAUUUGGAUUAUAAGAUUAAAUUACCUUAGGGAUAACAGCGUAAUUUUUUUUGGAGAGUUCUUAUCGAUAAAAAAGUUUGCGACCUCGAUGUUGGAUUAAAAUUAAAUUUUGGUGUAGAAGCUAGAAUUUUAGGUCUGUUCGACCUUUAAAAUUUU